AGUCCAGACUCCUACGGGAGGCAGCAGUGGGGAAUAUUGCACAAUGGGGGGAACCCUGAUGCAGCGACGCCGCGUGGGUGAAGGAGAAUUUCGGUAUGUAAAACCCUAUCAGCAGGGAAGAACAAUGACGGUACCUGACUAAGAAGCACCGGCUAAAUACGUGCCAGCAGCCGCGGUAAUACGUAUGGGGCAAGCGUUAUCCGGAGUUACUGGGUGUAAAGGGAGCGCAGGCGGCGCGUUAAGCCUGGUGUGGGAGCCCGCGGCCCAACCCCGGGACUGCUCAUGGAACUGCGUGGCUGGAGUGCAUGAGGGGCAGGCGGAAUUCCUGGUGUAGCGGUGAAAUGCGUAGAUAUUAGGAGGAACACCAGUGGCGAAGGCGGAUUACUGGACGGCAACUGACGCUGAGGCUCGAAAGCGUGGGGAGCAAACAGGAUUAGAUACCCCAGUAUA
rnacentral:rRNA from 1 species